rnacentral:rRNA from 1 species
UACGUAGGGUGCGAGCGUUACUCGGAAUUAUUGGGCGUAAAGCGUGCGUAGGCGGCUGAGUAAGUCGAGUGUGAAAGCCCCGGGCUUAACUUGGGAAUUGCGCUCGAAACUGCUUUGCUGGAGUGUGGCAGAGGAAGGUGGAAUUCCACGUGUAGCGGUGAAAUGCGUAGAGAUGUGGAGGAACACCAAUGGCGAAGGCGGCCAUCUGGGCCGACACUGACGCUCAGGCGCGAAAGCGUGGGGAGCAAACAGG